UACCGUGAAACUGCGAAUGGCUCAUUAAAUCAGUUAUCGUUUAUUUGAUAGUACCUUUUACUACAUGGAUAUCCGUGGUAAUUCUAGAGCUAAUACAUGCUAAAAACUCCAACUCACGAAGGAGUGUAUUUAUUAGAUAAAAAGCCAAUGCCCCUCGGGGCUCCUUGGUGAUUCAUGAUAACUCAGCGGAUCGCAUGGCCUUGCGCCGGCGACGGUUCAUUCAAAUUUCUGCCCUAUCAACUUUCGAUGGUAAGGUAUUGGCUUACCAUGGUUUCAACGGGUAACGGGGAAUUAGGGUUCGAUUCCGGAGAGGGAGCCUGAGAAACGGCUACCACAUCCAAGGAAGGCAGCAGGCGCGCAAAUUACCCAAUCCCGACACGGGGAGGUAGUGACAAUAAAUACUGAUACAGGGCUCUUUUGGGUCUUGUAAUCGGAAUGAGUACAAUUUAAACCCCUUAACGAGGAACAAUUGGAGGGCAAGUCUGGUGCCAGCAGCCGCGGUAAUUCCAGCUCCAAUAGCGUAUAUUAAAGUUGUUGCAGUUAAAAAGCUCGUAGUUGAACCUUGGGCCUGGCUGGCCGGUCCGCCUCACCGCGUGUACUGGUCCGGCCGGGCCUUUCCUUCUGGAGAGCCGCAUGCCCUUCACUGGGUGUGUCGGGGAACCAGGACUUUUACUUUGAAAAAAUUAGAGUGUUCAAAGCAGGCCUUUGCUCGAAUACGUUAGCAUGGAAUAAUAGAAUAGGACGUGCGGUCCUAUUUUGUUGGUUUCUAGGACCGCCGUAAUGAUUAAUAGGGAUAGUCGGGGGCAUCAGUAUUCAAUUGUCAGAGGUGAAAUUCUUGGAUUUAUUGAAGACUAACUA
rnacentral:rRNA from 1 species